GACGAACGCUGGCGGCGUGCCUAAUACAUGCAAGUAGAACGCUGAAGAGAGGAGCUUGCUCUUCUUGGAUGAGUUGCGAACGGGUGAGUAACGCGUAGGUAACCUGCCUUGUAGCGGGGGAUAACUAUUGGAAACGAUAGCUAAUACCGCAUAACAAUGGAUGACCCAUGUCAUUUAUUUGAAAGGGGCAAAUGCUCCACUACAAGAUGGACCUGCGUUGUAUUAGCUAGUAGGUGAGGUAACGGCUCACCUAGGCGACGAUACAUAGCCGACCUGAGAGGGUGAUCGGCCACACUGGGACUGAGACACGGCCCAGACUCCUACGGGAGGCAGCAGUAGGGAAUCUUCGGCAAUGGGGGCAACCCUGACCGAGCAACGCCGCGCGAGUGAAGAAGGUUUUCGGAUCGUAAAGCUCUGUUGUAAGUCAAGAACGAGUGUGAGAGUGGAAAGUUCACACUGUGACGGUAGCUUACCAGAAAGGGACGGCUAACUACGUC
rnacentral:rRNA from 1 species